CUGUGCUCCAAUGAAGUGAGAGAAGGGGGGGCUAUGGUUUGGGCUUAUGGAAAUUUAUUAGGAGGGGAUGUCAGAGUUUCGAAAAUCAUAUCUGUUUUGUGGCUGGAGAGGGUUCUAUAAUCAGGUUUUGGCAUGAUAUUUGGUGUGGAGAUCGCACUCUUCAUAGGGUCUUUCCAGCUCUUUAUCAUAUUGCAGCUAACAGGGAUGCUUCUGUGGCGGAUUUGCCGGUUGAUAUACUCCCUGGGAAACAUUACAGCACAUGAGGAUAGGAUGUAGUGUAGGUCCAAUGGCAGCAAGAAGUGUACAAUCAGGGCUUAUUACAAAAUACAAGAUUUUGACUACAGACAACUUGAGGAAGAGGGGGCUCAUUGUGAUGGAUUGGUGCUAUUUGUGUAAAAAGCAUGGAGAAUCAGUGGAUUGCUUAUUACUGCAUUUUGAGGUGACAAGGGGGCAGUGAGAUGAGAUUUUUAGAAGAGUUGAUGUCGCUUGGGUAAUGCCAUUGAGGGUGGUUGAUUUACUGGCUUGUUGGAAGGAGAUUCAAGGCUGCCCUCAAGUGGCGGUAGUGUGGAAUAUGAUUUCGAUGUGCAUUAUGUGGUGUACUUGGUUGGAAAGGAAUGAGUGGUGCUUUGAAGAUAGGGAGCGCACAAUGGCAGAGCUUCAGAGUUUUUUUGUACACACAUUAUUGCUUUGGUUUUCAGCCAUUGUACUUGAUGGAAACAAUGCUCAUGACUUCCUGUCCUUAAUCUAUUGAUCCUAGAUUGUAUUUAGGUGUUCUUUUGUAUACUUCUUGUGUACACGGGCUAUGCCUAUUUUAUUCGUAUCAAUAAAAUUUACCCCUUAUAAAAAAAAAAAAAGUUUUCAAGUUGCACCAUCUAUUAAGAUUUGAUUGUCAUGAUUGUGCCACUUGAUUUUAUUUUUGUUUCUCCUAAUAUUUAGAUCUAAUGAGGGUGCAAAGGGAAACAUAUUGGUAGUUUUUUUUUUUUAGAGGACUCGAACUGGUGAUCAUUGGAGAGUCAAGAACUGGUGAUCAUUGGAGAAUCAACCCAAGGCCUGACCAAUUGAGUUACCUCUCAGGCCUAACCAUAUUGGUAGUUUAAGGUGCUAAUUGGGAAAACAAAGGUAGUUGGGGAUCUAAAGUGUAAUUUCUAUUAUGAUUUAUCAUUUAAUGUUAAAAUAUGAUUAGUUUUAGUCUUGUAUGUGUUAAUCGAUUUGAAAAUUGUUAAAUUAUAAUCAUUAUAACUAGGAGUGACAAUAUAUAACACGACUAAUGAACCCAACACGAACAUGACUUGAAAUAAGUGGUUUGGGUUUUAUAUAAAUGAGUUUGGGUCAAAAUGGAUUAACCUGAUAAAACAUGAUUAAUAAAUGGGUCAAUUUUAGGUCAACAUACGAAACCUACAAUCAACCCGUGUAACAAGAAUACAUUCUGAAUGGAUUAUGUUUAGGUUAAUCCAAUAAAAAUUAAUUAUUAAACAGGUAAUACGGAUCAUGUUGUGUCAUGUCAACCGUUAUUUAUAUGGAUUGUGUUAAAGUUUUAGGGUCUGGCCCAUUUAAUUAAACGGGUUGUGUUUGGGUUGACCCAUAUAGUCUAAUACUCAUACCUUGACAUAACACGAGCAAGACCUGCAUACACAAACUGCCACCCCUAAUUAGAAUCAGUGUUGUAAAAAGCACACUUAAGUGCAAAGUGCAAAGGGCCACAGCUGAAGCAUUUCACAUACCAAAAGUGAAGUGCAUUUACAAGGCACUUUAUUUUUUUAGCUUAAAGCGCAGAAUGCGCUUUUAUAUUUUUUUCAAAAAUCCAUUCAAGACCCAGAGAAGGAUAUAAUAAAGUAUUCUUAAGUCUUUAGUUGAUAUUGAAGAUCAUUUAAGUGGUGGCACAUGUCAAAGAUUUAUAUGCUUUAAACCUGAUAUAAUAGUCCAAGUUGGUUUUCUAGAUGGAUUGAUAUUUGGUUGCUUAUGCUGCAUAGAAGCUAAUAGCUCCAAUUCUUGAACUUUUUUGGUCAUAGUCUCAUAGAUGUUUAUAAGCAUGAGAGUUAUAUAAUUUAUUUAUUUUUUGAUAAGUAGCAUGAGAGUUAUAUAAUUAUGUUUAGAUUUAUGUAAUUAGUUUAUUACUUUAUCCAUAA